rnacentral:rRNA from 1 species
AAACUUUCAACAACGGAUCUCUUGGCUCUGGCAUCGAUGAAGAACGCAGCGAAAUGCGAUACGUAAUGCGAAUUGCAGAAUUCAUCGAGUCAUCGAAUCUUUGAACGCACAUUGCGCCCGCCAGCAUUCUGGCGGGCAUGCCUGUCCGAGCGUCAUUU